GUGGCUGUAGUUUAGUGGUGAGAAUUCCACGUUGUGGCCGUGGAGACAUGGGCUUGAAUCCCAGCAGCCACA
rnacentral:tRNA from 1 species